UUCGGAUGGAAGCGGAUAUGACUUGCCGGCGGACGGGUGAGUAACGCGGGGAUAACCUGCCUCAUACAGGGGGAUAACAGUUAGAAAUGACUGCUAAUACCGCAUAAGCGCACAGGACCGCAUGGUCCGGUGUGAAAAACUCCGGUGGUAUGGGAUGGAUCCGCGUCUGAUUAGCUGGUUGGUGAGGUAACGGCCCACCAAGGCGACGAUCAGUAGCCGACCUGAGAGGGUGGCCGGCCACAUUGGGACUGAGACACGGCCCAAACUCCUACGGGAGGCAGCAGUGGGGAAUAUUGCACAAUGGGGGAAACCCUGAUGCAGCAACGCCGCGUGAGUGAAGAAGUAUUUCGGUAUGUAAAGCUCUAUCAGCAGGGAAGAAGAAAGACGGUACCUGACUAAGAAGCCCCGGCUAACUACGUGCCAGCAGCCGCGGUAAUACGUAGGGGGCAAGCGUUAUCCGGAUUUACUGGGUGUAAAGGGAGCGUAGACGGCUGUGCAAGUCUGAAGUGAAAGCCCGUGGCUCAACCGCGGAACUGCUUUGGAAACUGUAUAGCUUGAGUACUGGAGAGGCAGGCGGAAUUCCUAGUGUAGCGGUGAAAUGCGUAGAUAUUAGGAGGAACACCAGUGGCGAAGGCGGCCUGCUGGACAGAAACUGACGUUGAGGCUCGAAAGCGUGGGGAGCAAACAGGAUUAGAUACCCUGGUAGUCCACGCGGUAAACGAUGAAUGCUAGGUGUUGGGGAGCAAAGCUCUUCGGUGCCGUCGCAAACGCAGUAAGCAUUCCACCUGGGGA
rnacentral:rRNA from 1 species